GUCUGCGCGCGAGCCAAUGGUCGUCCUCCGGAACACCAAAGGCGCAAAAAACAUAACUUGAGUUGUGCGGGAUUACGGGCGCGGCUCUCUGCAGCGUCCCUCCAUCCCCGGGUGUUGUAACCGGCAUGCGGUGUGGUCCCUCGGGGCCGUCACCGUGCCACAACAUACCGUGAGUGUGCAGGAUGUGACCCGAAAGAUGGUGAACUAUGCCUGAUCAGGUUGAAGUCAGGGGAAACCCUGAUGGAGGACCGAAGCAGUUCUGACGUGCAAAUCGAUUGUCAGAAUUGGGCAUAGGGGCGAAAGACCAAUCGAACCAUCUAGUAGCUGUUUU
rnacentral:rRNA from 1 species